rnacentral:rRNA from 1 species
AGCCUUGUACACACCGCCCGUCAAGUCAUGGGAGCCGGUAGUGCCCGAAGCCGCCAAGUUUCAUUGGUGCCAACGGCAAGAUCGGUGACUGGGACUAAGUCGUAACAAGGUACCC